AGGAGUUGGGUCUUCCUAUUUAUUCCACUUUUCAAAGUAUGGGAAAACUCAGGAACACUCAGGUUAUACCCAGACCAUGCAUUAAACCAAAGAAAUGAGUGUCAUUUGCAUAAAACUUUUAGCGUCUCCUGUAAAGAUUAGUUUUACAAAUAAGUACCCAUCCCAAUGGUCUGUUUUGCAAGUUCUGAGGAAAUCACUUCUCCCUCUCAACCCUUCAUUGGGUGUAAAUCCUGCUGUUAGAAUCCCAUUGCAGGGGGGAGGAGGUGUCUUAACAUUAACUUAAAACAAUUAUUGAGGUAAAAUUAAAUAUGAUAAAAUUUACUCAUUUAAAUAUAUAGCUUUAUGAAUUUUGGUAAAUGUUUCAGUUGUGCAAACACUAAUAGAUCUAAGUUUUAGAACACAAAUUAUCACAAAAAUUUAAAGGGCUUAGCUGAUUAGAUCAGGCCCACCCAGGAUACCCGGAUAAUCUCCUCUUUGAUUAACUCAAAAGCUGAUUCGAGACCUUAAUUGCAUUGCAAAUCCCUUCACCUUUACCAUACAACAUAACAGAAUCAGGGGAUGAUAUCCCGUCAUCAUUGCCAUGUUCUGUUGUCUAGAAUCUGGUCACAGGUUGUUUUCCACACUCAGGGGGAUGGGUCUAUCAAGAGUGUGACCUAUUCAGGGUCAUCCUAUGGUAUUUCCUGUACAUCUUCUAAUUGAUCCUUCCUUCCCUCCUUCCUUCCUCCCUUCCUUCCCUCCUUCCUUCCUUCCUUUCUUCCUACCUCCCUUCUUUCCCUCUCUCCUUCCUUUUUGGCUUUCUCCCUUCUUCUUCUCUACUUUCCUCUACAUGAAAGAAGAAGCAGAGUCAACAGAGAGGAAAUCUGAGCGCUGGAGAACGGAAGUGACUCAGCUGUGUUGCUGCAGAGCCAGCAGUAAAAGCCACCUGUUCUGGUGCAGCCUCUAAGGAGAGGCUAACUGGGCUAGAAUGGUGGUCAGAAGAGAUGAGUUUGAGUCAUAGCUCUGACAGUCACAUGAUCUGUGAUCUUAGGCUCUCUGGAAUUCCAAGUCUUCAUUUUAAAAAUAAGGAUCAUACCUGCUGGACAGAGUUUUUUCAAAGACUGAAUGAAGAACACAGACUAGCUGCACAGUGCCAAGCAAAUGUUGUUGCUGUUCUGAAUUUUUCUCCACUCUCAAUUUCAGGAAGAAAAAGAACAGUGAAGUUGGAGCAUAGUGAGAAAGGAAAAGAGCUUUAGAAGAGAAGAUCCAGCAGUUAAGUGUGGUCCAGAUCCCUUAGGACCCUGAAG
rnacentral:lncRNA from 1 species